rnacentral:rRNA from 1 species
UACGUAGGGGGGCAAGCGUUGUCCGGAAUCAUUGGGCGUAAAGAGCGUGUAGGCGGUCCGGUAAGUCGGCUGUGAAAGUCCAGGGCUCAACCCUGGGAUGCCGGUCGAUACUGCCGGACUAGAGUUCGGAAGAGGCGAGUGGAAUUCCCGGUGUAGCGGUGAAAUGCGUAGAUAUCUGGAGGAACACCGGUGGCGAAGGCGGCAUCCUGGACCAACACUGACACUGAGGAGCGAAGGCCAGGGGAGCAAACGGG